rnacentral:rRNA from 1 species
AUGCUCCCUUCUCGCUUCCUCCUCACCCCGCACUGCCCCACCGCGCCGGCCCCGACUCCGACUCCGACACUCCCCGGCGGCGCGCGCUCGCCGAGCUCGGUCGCGCUGCGGUUCGGAUCCCCCGGAGGCGUGCGGCUUCGGCGCGGGCGAGGGUCGGCGGCGGUCGCGAUGGCAUCCGACGGGCGCGUGGAGCGGAUCGCGUCCAGCAUCCGCGCCAUCCCCAACUUCCCCAAGCCAGGGAUUUUGUUUCAGGACAUCACAACCUUGCUUCUCGAUCCGCAGGCAUUCCGUGACACCACUGACCUCUUUGUCGAGCGGUACAAGGACAAAGACAUAACUGUAGUUGCUGGUGUUGAAGCCAGAGGAUUCAUUUUUGGUCCUCCCAUUGCAUUAGCCAUAGGUGCAAAGUUUGUUCCAAUAAGGAAGCCGAAAAAAUUACCUGGUGAGGUGAUAUCGGAAGAAUAUUCUCUGGAAUAUGGCACUGACAAAAUUGAAAUGCACGUAGGAGCUGUGCAGCCCAAUGACCGAGUCCUUAUUGUGGAUGAUCUAAUUGCCACAGGGGGAACCCUUUGUGCCGCUGCCAAACUUAUUGAGCGUGUUGGAGCAAAGGUGGUUGAGUGUGCCUGUGUUAUUGAACUGCCAGAGCUGAAGGGCCGGGACAAGUUGGGGGACAUGCCAGUUUUUGUCCUAGUGCAGGCAGACGAGUCAGUAUGA